rnacentral:rRNA from 1 species
UACGUAGGGGGCAAGCGUUGUCCGGAUUUAUUGGGCGUAAAGAGCGUGUAGGCGGUUUGGUAGGUCCGCUGUGAAAACUCGAGGCUCAACCUCGAGACGCCGGUGGAAACCAUCAGGCUAGAGUCCGGAAGAGGAGAGUGGAAUUCCUGGUGUAGCGGUGAAAUGCGCAGAUAUCAGGAAGAACACCCGUGGCUAAGGCGACUCUCUAGUACGGUACUGACGCUGAGACGCGAAAGCGUGGGGAGCGAACAGG